rnacentral:lncRNA from 1 species
UUUACAAUAAAUUUUGGUUUACAAAACUAAACCAAUAAUACAUAAAUAUAUUACUCUACUCUUAACUAACUAAACCAAUUGAUUAACUAAACCUAAACCUAAAUCUAAACCUAGACGCUUCAGCCGCCAUCGCCACCUUCACAAAGCUUCAGCCACCAUCCACGAUCCAAACUCGCCACCAUAUGCUGUCCUCCUCCACCCUCGCCACCAUCCGCUGUCCUCGCCACCGUCAUCACUCUCUCUCUCUCUGCCAUCGUCAACAGCAUGAUAUCACCAAGUCAUCAAACCAUCACGCUCAGCCACCAUUGUCGACCUUGAGACCACCACCAUCAAGCUUCUUCAGCCUCCUCCACCUUCUUUAGCUAAGAACAUGAAAACAAAUACACAGAGGGAAUCAAAUACAUAAGAACAACAAAAAAUCAAAAUCAAAACAAAGAUAGAGGUGACCUUAGUGGUGGUGAAGUGUGCGCCGGAAUCGAAGGGAGUGGUGGUGGUAACGAGCGCCUCGGUGGUGGUGGUGGUGACGUGUUGAGAGGAGACGUACGGAGGCAAGUUUCAGAGACUUGGUCGUACUCUCCAUGAUUCUUCUUCUCUCGACUCUUGGACUCAAAACUCCAAUCAACUUCAGAUCUAAUCCUUGUCGUGAGAGAGGAAAGAGAGAGAAGAGAUGAGACGUCGUGAG